GGGCGUUUGAACCGGGGAGCGAGCAGGUUGCGACGGCGGACCCGCGGCCCCGAGCAACCUGAGGGGCGGCGGCCCCGGGAGGAGCCGCGUUGAAGAGCCGCGCCGCCGGCCCGAGCUCCGCGCGCCGCCGAAGUUGAGGGCGAGUUUAUGAGGGUGGCUGUCUUUGAUGGUCAGCAGAAGGUCUCAGGAUGAGUUACUGGAGUCUGGAUAAGAAAAGCUGUCUGCAGUACUGCAGACACUUCUUGGCGGACAACGGCGUGUUUCAUGUUGAAAGAUGCAUGAGUGUUAUGCAGUCUGGGACUCAGAUGGUUAAGCUGAAGAGUGGAACCAAAGGGCUCGUUCGUCUCUUCUACCUGGACGAGCACAGGACCUGCAUCCGAUGGAGACCGUCCAGAAAAAGUGAAAAGGCAAAAAUUGUCAUCGAUUCUAUUUACAAAGUGACCGAAGGCCGUCAGUCUGAAAUCUUCCACCGCCAUGCAGAGGGGAACUUUGACCCGAGCUGUUGCUUUACCAUUUACCAUGGCAACCACCUGGAGUCGCUGGAUCUGAUUACCUCUAACCCAGAGGAAGCUCGCACCUGGAUCACAGGACUGAAAUAUUUGAUGGCUGGGAUAAGUGAUGAGGACUCGCUGGCUAAGCGGCAGAGAACUCACGAUCACUGGGUGAAACAAACUUUUGAGGAAGCUGACAAGAAUGGAGAUGGCCUGCUGAACAUUGAAGAGAUCCACCAGCUGAUGCAUAAGCUAAAUGUUAACCUGCCCCGCAGGAAGGUCCGGCAGAUGUUUCAGGAAGCUGACACAGAUGAGAACCAAGGAACCCUAAACUUUGAAGAAUUUUCAGUGUUUUACAAGAUGAUGUCCUUACGUCGAGAUCUCUACUUACUGCUCUUAAGCUACAGUGACAAGAAAGAUCACCUCACCGUUGAAGAACUUGCUCAGUUUCUGAAGGUGGAACAAAAGAUGAGUAAUGUGACGCCAGAAUACUGUCUCGACAUCAUACAGAAGUUUGAAGUAUCAGAAGAAAACAAGGAGCAGAAUGUUCUUGGGAUUGAAGGUUUCACCAACUUUAUGCGCAGUCCUGCUUGUGAUGUUUUCAAUCCGCUGCAUUGCGAAGUGCAUCAGGAUAUGGAUCAACCCCUUUGUAACUACUUCAUCGCUUCCUCUCACAACACGUACCUGACAGGAGACCAGCUGCUGUCCCAGUCCAGAGUGGAGAUGUAUGCACGAGUGCUGCAGGAUGGUUGUCGAUGUAUUGAAGUGGAUUGCUGGGAUGGUCCAGAUGGAGAGCCAGUAGUGCACCAUGGGUAUACGCUUACCUCUAAAAUAUUCUUCCGUGACGUGGCGGAAACUAUCAAUAAGUACGCCUUCAUCAAAAAUGAGUUUCCGGUGAUACUGUCUAUUGAAAAUCAUUGCAGUAUUCAGCAGCAAAAGAAGAUUGCUCAGUACUUGAAGGAGAUACUUGGUGACAAACUGGACUUGUCAUCUGUAGUCACCAGAGAUUCCAGACAGCUUCCUAGCCCUCAAAACUUGAAAGGGAAAAUCCUAGUGAAGGGAAAAAAGUUGCCGUACAGUCUUGGAGCAGAUGCUGAGGAAGGAGAAGUUUCUGAUGAGGAUAGUGCUGAUGAAAUUGAAGAUGACUGCAAGUUGAAAUCCUGCUAUAGUAAUGGUGCAACUGAGCACCAGGUGGAAUCUUUUAUAAGAACAAAGCUUGAAUCCCUGCUAAAAGAGUCCCAGAUCAGGGACAAAGAAGAUCCUGACAGCUUCACGGUGAGAGCACUGUUAAGGGCAACUCACGAAGGUUUAAGCGUUAACCUGAAACAGAGCCUGGACACGAAAGAAGGUGGGAAAAAGUCUCAUAGUCGAUCGUUAAUGGGCAACUUUGGUAAGCACAAACUGUAUACGUGUGUAAAUUCUUUAAAACCUCCAGUGGAGGAGAGAAUGCCAAGGCUGGCAACUCCUAAAGCAGGGAAGGCAACAUCCAAAUGUAGCACGUCAGAUGAUGAUGAAAAUCAGCAAAACUCUUCUGGAAAGGAAGCAGGGCAGCUCCACAGUAGACUGACUCGUCGAAGGAAAACUGUGAAGCUGUGCCGAGCUCUGUCUGACCUAGUGGUGUACACGAACUCUGUGGCAGCCCAGGAUAUAGUAGAUGAUGGAUCUACAGGGAAUGUGCUGUCAUUCAGUGAAACAAGAGCCCACCAAGCAGUGCAGCAGAAGGCUGAACAGUUCAUGCUUUACAACCAGAAACAGCUUACAAGGGUCUAUCCAUCAGCGUAUCGGAUUGACUCCAGCAAUUUCAAUCCUUUACCUUACUGGAAUGUUGGUUGCCAGUUAGUGGCACUAAACUACCAGUCUGAGGGACGUAUGAUGCAAUUAAAUGAAGCAAAAUUUAGGGUAAAUGGCAACUGUGGUUAUGUCCUCAAACCUCAGCAGAUGUGCAAAGGCUCAUUCAACCCCUAUUCUUCUGAUCCGCUUCCUGCUAGUCCUAAGAAGCAGCUCAUUCUGAAAAUCAUCAGUGGACAGCAGCUGCCUAAGCCUCCUGACUCAAUGUUAGGAGACAGAGGAGAGAUAAUAGAUCCCUUUGUUGAGGUGGAAAUUAUUGGGUUACCCGUUGACUGCUGUAAAGAUCAGACCAGGGUGGUUGAUGACAAUGGAUUUAAUCCCGUUUGGGAGGAAACGCUCACUUUUACCAUCCACAUGCCUGAAAUAGCUUUGGUUCGAUUUCUUGUUUGGGAUCACGACCCUAUUGGGCGAGACUUUGUUGGACAAAGAACGCUGGCCUUUAGCAGCCUUGUACCUGGUUAUCGGCACGUGUAUUUAGAAGGACUGACUGAAGCCUCCAUAUUUGUUCACAUAACCAUUAAUGAAAUCUAUGGAAAGAAUAAACAACUGAUAGGAUUCAGAGGGCUGUUUAACAAGAACCCUAAGCACAGUUCUGCUGAAACCAGCGGUCACUACGUACGGAAACGCUCUAUUGGUGACCGAAUUCUCCGGCGCACGGCCAGUGCACCAGCAAAAGGUAGAAAGAAAAGUAAAAUGGGCUUUCUGGAAGCUUCUGAAAUUAAAGACAGUGCAUCUGAGCCAGCAGACCUGAAGGACAAAGAAGGAGUUGUAAGGCGUACGAGCCGGAGUUUGCAAGCACGUCCUGCUUCUAUGCCAGUGGACAAAUUCCUUCUUGUAGGACUGCCAUGCACAGAGGAUGAAACUACUCAAGAUGCCAAAGGAAAAGAAAAUGCAUCUGAAACGGAGAGGAUUCAGACUCUGGAAGGAAGAGCUUGAGGUGCAGAGGAGCUGAGUCUGUCCUUCCCUUGCAGGAUGGGCAGGCGAAGAAUGUUCCCCAGGACUGCUGUGCCUCCUGUUUUCCUGCCAGGUGGCCUAGGGACCAGAGCAGUGCUGUUUCUCUCUAAAAAUCAGGUCAGAAAGUGCCUAAUCCCCAUGGCACCAGGCUGUUAGUGUGCUUACUGUUUGAUAUUUGGUUACAGUCUUGACAGAAUUAGGAACCAUUCUAUAAGCAGAUGUCAAAGAUAUUUGAAAUGAAGUUAAAUUUCUUUCGUUUUCAGAUAAGUCAGGAUAAACUGCUUGUCCAUUACUUAAAACUAUCCAUAUUGCUUCUGAGUCUGGAGCUGGGUAUUAUGUAUGUUCAAGAUUAUAUUCAAGUGCAGAGUAUAUUCACGAAUUGCUCUUAUACCUUCAGUUUUUAGUUGAACUUAAUGAGCUUUGUCUUCUGGAGAAAGGAAGACAAACUUCUGUGUUUUAAAGGGCAUUUUUUUAAUGCUGUAGAGAAGGGGUAGGUGAUAACAGCACCUUGAGAAUGCCUGUCCCACUGCAGCCAUCUGCAUCCAUGGCAUGGUGCAUCCCUGCACAGUAGGAGUUGCUGGUACUGCUGCGUGUGCACUGGACAGCAGCUGUGGGAGCGUGGGCUGGGCAAGGUCUGGGGACCAUUGUAACUAAUUAGCAACUUCCAGAUGAAAACAUGAGGCCUCUUUGGGAUACUUCUGUGAGCCUGGAGGCUCUUCCAGCAAUGUUCUCAUUGUGAAGACGGUGUGGCACGUGUGCAAACACACUUUUGAGCAUCCCAUCCCUGGACAAUGAUGUGGUCGCACUGGUGCCUAUUAGUAACGUGAGGCCAGACCUGGUGUGAUGUGAUACAGUCAUGAUCUAACGUGGUGAUGCCCUCAGAGUCAGAGAAAACACCUUGUCUCAUGGAUGUGCGCUGCAGAUGUGAUUCUAACGUCAGAGUAAGUCCAACCUGGAAGUAAUACAUGUUGUAUGGUGAUGCUGAAACGUGGUGGUGAGUAAGAGGAGGAGUGGGGUAGUUCUGAGAAGCUGAGAAUGUUCACUUCUGUUUGCUUGUGUGCUGGAUGCUGACUGGAAGGGACACUGCUGAAACCUGAGCACUUUCUGAACUCCUCUCAGUCAUUAGACUUCUUUGUGCAUCUGGUACCAAGAGUGCAAGAAGAAUGGUGUAGAAGCAGUAUUUGUACAUAAACCAGUAAUCUGCAAUUCAUACGUUCAUAAAGCUGUUCAUCUGUUAAUUCAAAAUGAAUUGAACCGUGAAUGAACAAGGCUGUAUCUUUUUGAAAAUUCACAGUGAAGGCUUUUUUGGAGAAUCUGCUGCAAACAUCAGCUUGUUCCAGAGCUGCUUAUCCUUGGUGCUUAAAAAUAUAUACGCUUCUGGUCUCUAUUUUGUCUGGCUUCACCCCCCAGUGCAGCAUUGUUUUAUCUGGCUGCUCUGUUAAGAGGCCUCUUACUGCAUUUCUUUCAGAUCAGCAUGAAGCUGCAGCCUUCUCUGUGACAUCCUACUUGGAGCAAACCCUUGGAGUCUCCCUUCUUAAAAUCUUGUAUUUGUUCCCAGAGGUCUCCUGUGAGGGCUGCCAAGUUCUCAGUGUUGUUCAAGAACUGCAGGCACCAGUUGCAACAUGUCAGGAGCAGUUAUGUCAGUGGAAAGCGUGGAGGUAACAUGAUUUGUACCAGACUGGGAUUGUAAAUAUAAGGUGAGAGCGUCGAAUCCUUGGCUGAAAUACUGCCCCAGAAGCAUCUGUUCUGUAGGUAUCUUGUCAUGCCUCUCUCUCUCUCUCUUGUUUUUUUUUUUUCCCUUUUAAUACCUUCUUUGGAGGGCAGAAUUUAGUAAUUAGAAUUUGCAUUUUUUCCGUCUGGGGUUCAUUGAGAUGUAUAUUUUCCUUUGCUUCUAUGCUGCAGAGAACAGUUAAUAGCAGCAAAAAUGAGGUAGAAACGUUACUUUUAAGAAAUUAUACUUUUUAAAAUUUAAGAGCAAAAGGUGUCAGUGGUUACUUUUAUAUGAUUAUCUAUUGGAAUAUCUACUUCCCCUGCUUUGACAGCAGUGUAAGAUGCUCCUGGUGUUAGGUAUGCUGUGGUGUUUCUCAUUCUUCACUCAUGGUAGAGGAGCCUAUGUUCUCGUAUAUCCACUCUGCAAGGAGAUGAAGGUCUGCUAGGAAGCAUUCUUGUCUUUUCUGUUCCUCCUGUGUGGCUGAGGAAGCCAAAGUUGUCAUGGGGUGUCAAACAAGAAGUGAAACAGAGAUUUCAGCAAUUUCUGUAUGGGCAGCAGAGUGGGGAAGUGAUUAGUGCUAAGCAUUAGAGAAUCAGGAGCAAUGCUUUGAUUGAUAGUUUUGGACUUAGACUUAAGUUUGUUAGUAAAGUCAGACGUUACUUAUGUGAUCCUGUUUUAAGGAAUAAUAGUCUUAAAGAAGGACAUUGUAAGGGAAGCAUGUCUUGAAGCAGAGGAUUAAUUCACAGCUGGUUUUCAAGCACUCGUUUGUUUUACAGGCUUUUUAAAGCAGAUUCUUUCAUUUAAUUUAGUGCUACAGAUUUUAAACACUUAUAGCCAAAAUCUUAUUGCGCUAAAGAUGUACUAGACUGAAGUGUCACUUCUAAAUCCAGUAGAGCAGUUCUGCUGGAAGUUAACAGCACUGAGUUGCAGGGCAUCUGCAAUUAAUGUUAAUUAUUGUACUUCUUUUGUCUUGGGACUAUGAUAUUAACUGUUUAAGAUGUGUACCCAGUCUUCUAGGUGAGGGUGCAUGUGCUGUUUGGAAUGCAUUUAAAUAAAUAGUAGCUAUGUUGACCUGCACUCCCACUUGUUUUCCUGUAGUUGGAAGUGAGAACCUAGUUAUGCACAGUGUUUGCAUAAAAUGAGGCUUCCUUGUUCACCAGCUGCAUUUCUAAUGCUGGAAGACAGUCAUUAGGAUUUUCUGUUUUGAACUGUGUUGGGAAUAAGGCUAUCCCAGCAGCUUUCAGGGGCUGAAGGGGAUGAAGACAGUAGCACCCCAGGGCCACGUAGGUGAAGCCAGGAGAUGGAGAGCUGAGUUGGUUGCAUUGAUCCCCCUGGUGCUCGAGCUGUGGGCAGACAGAGCCGUGGGACCUUGCUGUGCAGUGGGAUCCUCCCCCAGCAUAGCAGCAUGAGGGAAGGUUGUGGAGGAGUUUUUUGGAUUUCCAUGAUGCCAGUACACACUUGCAUGAGAUGAAACAAGAUUUACUCAUCGAUUUUGUUUUUUAUUUGAAAGACAAAGUCUCAGCAGUCCCCUUUGCCUCUGGUCUCCUCAGUCUCUGUGCCAAGCACUGCUGAGCCAGCCUUGCAGCAGGGUACUGCUAGACUUGACAGCAGGAGUGAAGGGAGAAGGCCUGAUACACACGUGUCCAGUAAAUUGCCCCUUUUAUUUCCUUGCUGAAAAGCGUUUCUUUUCUGUUCUCAAAAGAUGUGUGUUUGGUUCUUUUGCCAGUCAUUCAAGUUCCUGCAUUAUCGGCCCGGUGGGGUGCAGUCCCUUCUCUGCUGUAGGUCUGUGCUAGGAAUCGUGCAGAGGGAUUCAGUCCAGUGCCAAAUGAAAUGUCUGUAUCUCUUUGGCUUUGGCAGCACCUUCUGUUGCACUGAGCAGAGAUGCUAACUGCUUACUAGGAGGAAUAAAUAUAAGCAACAGCUGCUGUCCACUUCUGAAUGUGGCAUUCUGCUCUUGCCAGAUGAGUAAAAUGAGACCAUACUCAUUUAGUGAAAGGAAUAUAUCCAGUCACCAAGGCAGCAGGAACAAUACCAAGCAAAUCCUGCCUUUUUGCUUCCCAGAGCUACGGCACUGAGAUCAGAGCUGUUCUAUAAAGCGGUAUCUAGUCACAGGGUUGGUAGUACAACUGGUACUGCAUAGUGCUGAACGGUGUGGGCUUGUGCUGCAGUGCCAGCCUGGGCUGGAGCAGCCUCAUCUGCUGAGAGGGCUGAGACACAGGGCCCCGUGGGCCAGAUGUCACCAUUUCCAGAGGCAGAGGAGUGUGGCAAGGUUUGGGGGAGCUCGGCUGUGUUUAGAUUCUCAGGGUGUUGACAGGUGGAAAUUUGCUCCUUGCCUAUACUUUUUAGAAUCCACACUGGUUUAGAGCAACAGGUUUCUUAUCGUGAUGAGAAUACAGUUAGGUGUAGGAAAGUAAUCCUAACAGAAACCACACUUGACAUUUCUAUCACAUUACGUUGAACUAAGUGGGAUUACUCAAUGUGCAAAUCUAUUAAAGACUUCAUGGCUUCCUCUGAAUGUGAAUCAUCCCUUUAGAGCUGGAAUUGAGCCUCUGAGGGCACACUGCAGCACUCGUUCAGAGAGCAGGUCACCUCCUCAUCUUUGUUCUUUCCUGACAGCAAAUUGUCUCAAUUCCUCUAAUAUUCCACUGCCUCUCGUUGAGACCUUUGCAAAAAAAAAAAAGCUGUGGUUUGCAGCCACAGCCCUGCUGCAUUCAGGUGGGUAUUCCUACAGCUGCAUCACGUGUGGUAGCUCUGCAGUAGGGGAGAGGCUGGGGUACUCCUGCUGUCCUUUUUGUGGUUAUUUAGGCUGUUCCAGUUAAUAGAUGUAUAUAUUAACUGGAAUAUAUAUAUAUAUAUAUAUAUAAAAUCUGAAGUGUUUUAAAACUCUUUAGGCAACCUUGGACACAAUUCCUCUGAAAAACAGAAAAAGCACAAGUCCGAGGGAGCACCUUCAGCUGUGUGUCUGUCAGAUUCCAGCCCCCUAAGUCCCUUUCCUUCUGGACUUGGCAUUGCUGCUCUUGUAUUUAAACAGACCUGUGGUCUGCUGUUGAAAACAAACACAAACAGCUGGUAUUGUUUUCUUCUUUGUAGGAGAAAACACUAAAGCUGUUUUUUCAUCCCUAAAAGAUUGUUUGCCCUUCUCUUUGUGUUCUGAGUUACUUCGCUUUAUAUGAGAAGUAUAUAUAAAAAAAAAUUCUGGCCAAUGACAGUUGAUAUAUUUCCAGAAAAAAAAAAAAAAGAAAAAGCCAGACAAUAUCCAGAAAGUCCCAUUUGUUUCUUUUUUCUUCCUUCUUUAAGCCUAAGAAAAAGAAUCUGCCAAUAUGUUCAGCUGCUGGCAAGCGAGGCAUUGUCAGGAAGCCUGACUUGCUGUGAAAUAUUAGUAAACAAGCAGCUGUGUUAGUGGUAGCCAAGUUUAACAAGAUCUCCACUUAUUAUCCUGUCAUUUUUUGUGAAAGAAUGUGCCAUUGCUGUCAGAUCCAUCUGUCCAACCGCACAGCCCACGCAUACAAAUCUCUCAGCCUCGCACGUGGGAGAGAUAUUGGAGAAAUUGAAACGGGGAAUGAAAGAUGAGCAAAAAAUCUGUUAAUAAAUAGAUGGAACUUCAUUUAGAUAAGUGACUGUCUGGCCCAGAGCAGACAGGUUUUGUGUUGUGUGCAGUUGUGACUAAUCCAGCUCUCUGGCCCAGUGCAAACGUGAUGUGGUGUAGCUAGCGUGGGUAAAUGCCAUCAGCGGCUCUGUUCGUCACAAACCAUUAUGGUGAGAAGGUGGAGAAGAUGGCUGAGAAAAGCUGUGGAAGAAAAGGUUGAAGAAAUACAUCUUGUUUGAUUCUGGCCAAUAGAGCUCUUCAUCCACAGGGAUAGUGUGUGAGGCUGCAGCUGCCAGCUGUGGCUGGAGGCAGCCGAAGGAAGCAAACGGCGUCUAACCAUGCCUAACAAGAGCAGCGUGUGCAUGGCAGUGUAACCUGCACCCAGGAGCGCGGUGGGGAUGUGCUGGACCUCCCUGUGCAGCAGCAGAGGGGAACAGUUGUGCCCCAGCAGGCGGUCACCUGGGAGCUCCUGAGCAUUUGUCUUAAUUCUAGAUCGGAGCCUUUAGGGUGAUGCUUUGUCAUUGUUUCAUUGUUGUGUUUUUUUUAAUAACUGUGGAGACCAGGAGCUUCACGUAAAGCGAAGCAGACGCUCUCUAGGUAUGGUUGGAACUAGCUCAGAUGUUUCUCUGUCUCUUGGCCCCAUUUCAAACCUUCCAGCUUUCUGGAAACUUGGAAAAGGGAACAGAGGAGCACGUUGAGAAUAUUUUACUUCAGAAAUAUUAAAAUUCAUUGCGGUAAGCAUGAAUGAAUCUGCAUUUGAAAAGAAAAGCCAUCUUUCAAAAGCCCUUCUCCAACUGCCAGGGAUCAGGAAAUGAAAGGUACCUGCCAACAAAACCAGGGUGCGUGGCAGCUGCUUUUUCAGGCAAGCACACGAGUCCUUCUGACACAAAGGCAGCAGGACCUGUACCUGGAAAUAACAGUGCCUGAGGAGAUGGGAAAGAUGAUGGAAAACAUCUGUCGUACGCAUCUGAAUCCGUGAGCUCUUGGGCAGGGAUGGAAACGCCGGCAUCAUCCAGCUUCCGGUGAUCCAACGCUGCUGUGGUGAGAGCACCCCAGGGUGCCGAGCCCUGCUGAGGGGGAGCAGCCCCAGGCAGCCUGCUGCCGUGCUGCCUGCGUGGGCACGGCCCUCGCUAGGGAUUCGUUCUUCUGAUUUGCAGCAAUCUGCCAGAAGUUCUACAGAGAGUCCUUAGAUGGUGCAUAAAACAAACAGAAGGUGCAAGUCUGAUUUGGCCAUAGAAAUAUUGUUUUCAGCACCUUGCUUGUGGGGCGUGAGGUUUUAUUGAUUUGUUGCUUUCUUUGUAGAGAUGUAUGCAAAGAUGCUCGUGGGAUGCACCGGGGAAAAUUAGUUUGCCUCUGAAACUCCAUUAAUUUGUGAUGCAUUGAGUUUUCAGCUACCUGGAGACAAAAAUAAUGACCACAACGAAUACGGAUGACUUUGUGUAGGAAUGAUUGUCAAAACUUUAGAAGAAAAAAAGCAAUUUGGAAAUGACCGUCAGUGCCCCUGCAGCGCUGCAGUUCUGUCGGUUUUCAGCUCACCCAGUAUUCAUCUGGCUUUGAAAACUGGUGCACAUGAAGCUUAGUAGCUUUGGUUUUGAGAUAUAUUAUUUGAUGAAAGGCAAGAUGUCCCUCUGAUGGUAUUUUUCCCAAAGGAGAAAAAAACAGAAGCACCAGAGUGCUGAUUGAUUUCGAUGACUAGUACGGGUUAUUAACACGAAUAUGCGUUAAUGAUCUUGGAAACAACUGUUAACAGCAAAUUAGUUAACAGCAUUAAUUACAGCUAGAAAAAUAAUAUAGGGAAGAUUAAUGCAGGCUGGCAAGUAUCUGGGGAGUGUCACAGCAUGAGACAAACAAAGCCUGCCCAAGCAAGCCGCCCACCGGUACAGUUCACGGGCAGCACUGGUAUCAUGCAUUGAGAAGGACAGGACUGGAAACCAGUGGAGUUAAUGGGUUUCUUGAAGACUUGUCCUCAGUCAGCAGGGGAAAUCAGCGGUCUGACUUCCUGCGUGCUUGUGGGUGCUCAGGGAGAUGUGAUAAAGAGUGAAAAGCCAUCUGUGUUUGCCGCACUUCAGUGCCCUGCCUGGAGAUGAGGUCAGCCCAAGGAAGCCUUCCAGCUCGCUGCAGGUGAGAUCUUGCUCUGCAUCCGUUCCUUGCCUGGCCUCAGAGGGCCUUCAUGCUGCGUGAUGUGAGCGAUGUUCCCUGGUUUGCUGGGAGAGCUGGAGCAGCGGGGGCAGCUCUGGGAGCGCGUCCCCGUUGCUGGGCUCAGCACAGGUGGGUGGGAGGUUACUGCACCUUGCUCCAGAUGCUGGGCUCAGAACUCCUCGGGCUCGUGCUGAACCUUGCCAUGUCUGCCCCUACCUGCUGUGGCUGGGGAUGGCCGCCGGUGCCCUCCUGUAGCUGCGGCCCCAGCCCCACUCUGUGCCACCAUUUGUCACAACAAGCUGAGCGUUGCGCUCGGAUGUUGAAAAGUAGCAAAUGAACUGAUGGAAUAUGCAGCCAAUAUAAAUUCAUGAGCAAGGUAAUGCAGUCAGGUCAUUCUGACACAAGGGCUGUUUUCUACUUGCCUUUUUAAUGUGAAAUAUUCAGGAGGGUUUGAGAGCUUUGGCAUGUAAUAAAAUCCUGACCUGUUUUCCACCAAAUUGCAAUUAUACAGCCUUGGCUUAAUAAUAUAUUGUCAUCUGGAAAUGGGUCAAAGCAAAUCCACAUACCUUACAUAACUUGAAUUGGUUUAUACAAAGAGAAGGGGAUAGACUAUCUUAAGCCCUCUAAAUAAGGGAUAGCUGCAAUACCAGAAAUGUUUGAAUAUCAUUUGAAGCUGAAUUUUAGAAUGCGCUUCCAGGUGCCGUGUUUAAAGACAAAGCUGUUUCUUUGAUGGGAACGUUUGCUUUCACAGGUCUGGGGGCCCCUAGGCUGCAUCACAGCGCUGCCAUGCUCCGGAGCAGCUGGGAUGAGCUCGGUGGUACUGCAGGGUGAGCUCCUCCCAGCCAGAUGCAAACAAGUGAUUUGCCACGCUCUGCCGGGUGUCGCAGCCUGAGCAGCAUUUCCUGGGCUAGUAUUUCUCGGUCUGGGUUGUGAGGAGGGUUUUGUUACUUCAUCAUGCCAAUGUUAGAGCCCAGAGCGUAGCAGAAAGGCAGAACUCCGUGACUCGCGUGCAUGCUUGGUGCUUUUGGAGUGGUUUCAUUGCAGUGAGCUGGGCACGAGGUGGCAGGACGGGGGGAUGAGUGGAGCUCAGGGACUUUGCAGCAAUAAGUGCAAUACAGCAGAGGGAUAAAACAGAGCAGCUGAAAAUAGCCCACACAGAGCAGUGAGUGCCAGUUUAUCACUGGCAAAAAUGCUUUGAUUAUGGCAUCCUUUGUGAAACACACUCAUUUCUCCCAGGAGAAUCCGGUGAGGUCUCUCAUUUAUCCUCCGCUCCAUAAAGGCCAGUGAGCAGUUAGGAGAAGUGCUGUAGCAGAAACGUGGAGCGUGAGAACGUUUCCCAGGGUGGGUUGUUGUUACAGAAAUGCAUUGCCAAAGAUCUGUAUUGCAAAUGUCGGUUAAAUUGGGCUCUUCUCUUAUGUGGUGAUCAUUUAAAAUCAAUUUCCAAUGUUUGUGACUAUGAAGUAUUGUCAGGAGAAUGGAAGAGGAACCGUUCCUUGGUGGUUUAUGGAGUGAGAACCUGUAAGUGCACAUCUGUGCAUGCAGGUGAGUGAGGGAAAGGAGGGAGUGGGCACUUGGUUUUCCUUGUACAGACACUGUGUGAUGGGAGGAACUUCGUGCCCAAAAACGAGGGGCAAAAUUGUAUUUCUCCAAUUUAAAUAAUGUAUAUUUUUACUAUGAAAUUACAGAUGUCCCUGUUAAUGUCUACCAUUCUAACCUGUUUCCCCAGGCACCCUGCACACCCGAGCUGGCGGGGCAGCCCUCUGGCUCUGGGCAGGACAUCAGGCUGUGUGCGCUGGGACCUGGCUGCCAACAUCCCUGAGAACCCGUGUGACACGCAGGGAGCCCGGCAGGAAGGUCUCACCCCAACAGCCACAACUGCGUGGCCCAAACGCGGCGGCUGUGAACCCACUGCUGGGGUCAGAUGGAAGCGCUGUGCACGGGGAAAAGCAGAGGCUGCCUAGGCUGCGUUGAGCCUGUUUUGGUGGUUCAGUAACAGAACUGGCUUCUGGGGUACCGAAAGGGGAAAAACAGAAAGGUAAGGAACUCCGUCUGGGGUAAGAGGUGUUCUCAGUAAGGAGAAUAAUGAUGCGUAUUUCCCAGGAGAAGUAUAAGUACUGCACAGUCCGGUUUUGAGAACCUAAAACAAACCAAGAAGCUGCUGUUGUGUGCGUAUGCCCUCAAGGUCUUAGCGGCGUGGUGCAAAAAAGGUGAAGUUGCAGCGACUGUCACAAGAGGGAGUUGCAGCACAAGCGUGGGAGCUGCGCUUCUGCUCGUUGCCUUUGCUUCCAGGGCUUGCUGCCUGCCUGCCUGGCAUAGGGAAGCUGCUUUUCUUCUUGCUGAUGGGGUUUGCUUUAGUUCGCUCUGCACGUGAAAUUAGCAGUGGCCAAAUAUCUGUUGAGGAAUAUAUUUCUGGUUGGAUGAAGCUUUGGAAUAUUUUAAUGCCUUUUCAGGGCUUGCAAAACCUUUCUGAAUUAAUAAGAGAUUUAUUCAGGUAAUUUUUAAACCAUAUGUUUUCCCCACCACAGAGGAUUCAUUUAAAUGGGAAAAAAAGUGAAUUACAGAGAAGGCAAGGAACAAAGAUGCAUCCUUGUGUUCUCCCACAAGUAGAUGAAGCACAACUGGAGGCGGUUGUUUCCGCAGGGGCAUAGAAUCCAGGCAAAUGUAUGUGCCAGUCACCUGGAAGAGAAGGGAGAGAAUGUCUUCUGGCUAGUUGUCUUCAAAGUGCAAGACCCCCCCCCCCUGCAGCGGUGGCUGCUCGUGGCCACAAGUACUGCAUGGCAGCGUGGGGCUCCUCGCUGUGUUUGGGGUUUUCCUCAGUGUUCUGCUGGCACAUGGAGCAGGGCACCAGCCUGCCCAAUGCUCGCGGCCAGGUGUCCCCCCACGCCAGCACCCCCACUGCUCCCUCAGCUGCUUGCUGCGAGCAGGGCACGUGCUGGGUGGAGGGAGGCAGAAUGGAAAGGGUUGUGAGCUUCAUGGGUUUUGUGGCUGCAGAAAAUCAUGUGGGAAAUGCGGCGUGGUAAAGCUGGAAUUUUAACUUGGGCUUAGCAGCGUGGUCAAGAACUUCCAAUUCAAUGCAAAUCCAAGUGACGCACUAGGUGCCUUUAAAUUGGCAUUUACCUCAUAAUUUAACCUCAUCUGUCACCUUAAAAGCCACAAUAGCACGUUCCACCAACGUAUAAACCUUAAAAUGCGUUCUCCAGAAAGCUGCCAUUUCCCAGCAAUUGAUGGUGUGUGCAGGGUUGGUUUUCUCUCCUGAGUGACCAUUGGAGAGGAGGAAAUGCAGUGAGGUUUGUAUGGGCUGCUGGAGACCUGUCCUGUCAGUGACCUGAGUGGCAGCUCUGGGUGCUGAGCUGCACCUGGGGGCUGUUCAUUGCCCGGUGUGUUGCUCAGCUCAGCCCCUAAGGCCACGCAUGGCAUUGGCCUCAGGCCACGUCCUGGCCUUGGCAGCCCAGUGCAGCUGCUCCUGGUGGUACUGAGCCCCAGCGCUGCUGAGCCCAGGGUCUGCUUGCAGCACGGCCUGCCUGCUGCUGGGCUGCAGCUCAGCACUAGUAACCCAGCUGAGACGACUUUUAUAGCUUGUGUCAGGCAGAUUUAUUCCCAGCAAUUAUCCCUGGGAUGGUUAGAAGGGUAUUUACCAGUCACUCUGCAGCCAUUGAAGCGAAACUGUACAAAGACAAACCCAAAUCCUCUGCAGCCAUUAAUUUUAGAGUCCAGUGGGAAGCGGAUCCAGAAGUGAUGUUCUGCAUGUAAAUGUCUGCACUGACAGUGCCAUUGCUCCAAGCCAGAGCACCUCUGGUGUUCCACCUUCCAGCCCUCCUAUCGGGUAUCUCUGCAUUCAGCCGCGUGCCCCAGGCGUACCCUGAGCCCCAGGAGCGUGGUGAAUUAAACAUUUAGAAAUUUCAUAAAUUGAAUUUUUCAGGUCUCACCCAGUUAUCAAAUAAGCCAACGCUCUGUCUUGAUGUUGGUGGCGUAGAUGUGAGUGGAGGUAAUCUAGCAAUUUUAAGGGAGCUCUCAAAUGUUGAGAUGGGUGUGACUCAGGAGAAAACACAUCCCCCUGGACAGAGCUGCCACUCGUACCUCUGUUCUAUGACUGCAGCAAUCUGACAUUCUCCCAUCUGUUACUCUGCAGGUCGCAAGGGAGCAGGGCAAAGUAAUAGAACAAGACAAGGUAUGUAGAAGUGGGUUGUGAUUUAUGUAGGAAAUCACUUGUUUGUUUUGUUUAUUUAAGGGAAAAGCUCAACAGAAGAAAUAUGACUUUAAAAUUUAGUGCCAAUAUUACAAAGCUGUAAAGAUUUUAUUACUUGGAGCAUGGUUUGUGAAGAUGAGUUGUGUCUCUGUACUGUAAUGCGGGGCAGCGUACCAGGGAGUUAGUGAUACAAAUCAUGCAGGACCUGGGCAACCCGAGGUGCGUCUUUGGCAGCCCCUUGGUGCUGCACAGAGCCUUGCUGCUGUUAGAAAUGGGGCUAACAAGAACUUCACUUUGACUUUCUAAUACUCAGUAAUCCAGCUGCUUGUUAAGGUGGCAAAGAUGAGAAUGUACUCUAAAGGUAUUACUUGUGUAAAGAACAAAUAUCGCCAAUUCUUGUUGCAAAGCGGCCAAAUUUUAAUGAGGUGUUCUGGCUGUUACUCCUCAAACAUCAGAUGCUAAAUCACCUGAACUCAGCAGAAGUAGCACAAGGAAAUGCAUCUGUUCCUAGGCAGGCUGUAUUUGCUUUCCCCAUUGUAUUCCUGGCCUUCCUCAGGGGUUGUGCUACGGAGAAAUUCUGUGUGCGGUACAAAAGGGGAAGGGCUUGCCUCUAACCGAGGUGAGGCAUGAUUGCUUCUGGCUGAGUCUUUCCCCAGCACACUGCCUAAGGGAGCAGCACUGAGGGAGGGAGCACGGAGCAGAGGGGUUUACCCACAGCCCUGUGGAGCAUGAGUGGAGGGAGAAAGGUGGUGGGAUGCAGUGAUGCUGCAUCCAGGAUGCAUAACUGCCCCCGGCCUUGCUGCAGGAAAACUGAUUCCCUGCAGCACAUUGUGACAAUGUGGCCCACUGGAAGGCCUCUAUAAAACCAGUAAUCUGUUAAAGAGCCAUACAAACACAUUCCUUCUAGUGCUGGCUCGAUUAUUCUUGCGGUUUCUCCUGGGUUGGCCGCUGGCUGUUGUUGGCCCUUGCCCAUUCCUUUCCCGUGAGCGCUGUGCAGACAUAGAUCCCCUCUGCGCUGCGGGUGCCAGCAGUUCCCUGGCCCUUCCCAGCCCUCCUGCUGCUGCGGUUAAGCAGCUCGGCGAUGCCAGGCUCAUGCGGUUCCUCUGCAUAACUGCAGGAAUAGCCAAGAGAUAGAGAUCAGCAGAACAACGCACUUUGUAACAGGAGGAGGGGUACUCCUGGGCACAGCUAGGGACUUUGUUCCUUUAAGCCCUUUGCCAAAGCUUUGGCACAGCAGCAGCUGAACGGCCGGCCUGGGGCUCUCGCUGUGCCCUGCAGCCAGCAGCACGGCGGCUUUGCUGGGAACAAAUGGAUCUGAGGGCUGCGUGUGUGACCCCCAGCCAGCCCGGGGCUCUGGCAGCAGCCUCAUCUUCUUCUUUCUUCUUUCUUUUGGCAAAGCCCACGUGGAUCUGCAGAAGAGAAUUUAAUAUUUUCUCAGGCGUCAGUACUGCUUUUGCCCUUAAAAUGGUUUUCUCUUCCAGAAGGACUUACAGCCUCGCUGACUUACUUGGUUCCUCCUCCUAAUUUUGGCCCCCCAUUCACUUAGAGCACUGGAAGCAUUUAAAAUACGUAAAGUGCAUUCGUAGCGUGGAGCAGUGAAUGGUACCGAAGUCAGCAGAUGUGCCCAGAGGACUGCUCCAGGUGAGACACAUCUGGCGGGUACCUCGGCUACAAGAGUUCUCAACCAACCCCCGUUAACCACCCAGCUCCAGCAGUGUACAGUGAGUGAGGAUCUUAUUCUUCCAGCACAAGCACAGAGGAAAACAAAACAUACACAAAUUAUAAUAUACGCAAAUCGAGUUGAGGAAAUCUGUUUUUCUUGCAUAUUUUUCUUCAGCUGGCAAAGAAGGAGAUGCUUAUUUGCCACCAAUAAUUCUCUUGGGCUUUUCCUUAAACACUGUGUACUCUCCUAAUUUCAUGCAUUUCAGAACUGGCACCCGGCUUUGUUUGGCUGUUGGGCUGAGAUCUAUUGUAGAAUCAUGUCUGCAGCUCAUUCCUCCCUUCCAAAUGGAAGAUGUGAAUGUUUAAAAUCAUGUCCGUGUUGUCAUACUACAUUUUUCUGUGCUUACAACUUUCAUAUCCUUAAUCUCAUGCUUUAGAUUUGCAGAGAAUACUUACUGUGCUUUCAGCUAAAUUAGGGUAGUAGUUAUCAAAACCGUUGCAAACAGCAAUGACGCUCUGUCCUUGCUUAAGGCAACGAAGCCUGGAAAGAUCCCAAUCUGUGAAGGUCAGAUUGUCUUGUUAGGAAUACAUGGCUCCUGGUAGAAAUUAUUUCCAUUAGAUCAGAUGUAUAUAUAUAAUUAGCAGAACCAAAAACAGAUAGCAUUUUUAUGGGAACAGCUAUGCGGCCAAUGAAGUUAUUGCAUCAGAGUUUUUUGUAUUUAAUAAAGUAUGACACAGGGAGUGGAAUCGUAUUUCUUUUUACAAGAAAUUGGCUUAUGUCCCAAAAAGUCUAUUGUUCUGCUGCAGAGCGAGGCUAGGAGUGUAAAACUCAAUUUUAUUCUGCGUCUCAGAAUGACACAAUACAAUGAAUUGUGCAUUGUGCCAUAAAAUGUUAUAUAGCCCCGAGGUUUAUUGUAGGAGUAAACCCACCUUGGGCAAGCAGUUAGAGAGGCAGCUCCCUUCUGCAGUGCGUGGGGAAAGGUGAGCAUCUUUCCAUGAAAGCUGUCCUGCUGGAGAAUGCAGGGGAUUGGCAGCAGCCAGCAGUGGGACCUUCUGGGAUCUUCAGUACCAGAAAGUUCAGUACUUGGGAAAUGUGCUGUUUUCGUGGUGAUAUUAAUGCAACAUUGCCUUAAACUCUAGAGAGCAGCGGCAGGCUUUUGGUGAGUUUUGUUGGGCAGAGGAACGGGAUCCUCCAUGGGACUCAUGGAGCCUUUCCUGUGCAGUACCCAUGGGGCCAGGGGUGCCACAAGCACAUCGCAGCCUCCAGCAAACACCUGCUGGAAACCCUAGGAUGCAGCAGCUCCCCACAGUUCUGCUGGCUUUCAGGUGACACCAAAGCUCAUGGAAGAAUGCUGUCUGCAAAGACUGGCGUGGCCUUGUGGGACUGAGAUCAGUGAAGCCCCAAGUUUUGUGGGUCUGCAGACCUGGAACUAAUGCCUCAGAAAGUACGUGUCAUCAACAGAGAAACACAGAGCCGCAGGGACUGGGAGCACGGGGUGUCCGAGGAGCAGGUUGGGCAGGGCGUCCAUUGCAGCAGGUGGUGAAGUCCAAGUCCUCAGGUGGCACGGCUUGGCUUCAGUUGUUGUUCUGCACUCGUCAUCUUUGAAUUCGUGCCAAACUCAGAGGACCAAAAAAUGAGAACUGUUUAUAGUAAGCAACGAAACCAAUCUAUACAAAGCUAAGUUCGUCAUUGAUGUAAAACAACUGUCUUCAAGUGAAGUUCUGCCAGAAUUGAAUGCUGCUCUGUCACUUUGUGUAUGUUACAUCGUUUCUAAGAUACUGAUAACUGCGAUACAAAUAAUUGUAUUUAAAAUGUUCCACUGCUAUCCAUUUUUUUUUGUUCAUUCACUAUGAAAAUAUUUCAUAGAUGUAUGCGAGUCACAUGCAGCCUGGGGGCCACAGUUUCCAUUUUUGCACCCAGGACAAAAAAAUAUUUGUCCUGGAAAAAAUAAGCAGACAUUUAAUUAUCUUUCCUAUGGGCAUUUUGAAGGCUGUCUCUCCAGCUGUUUUGUUGACGUAGCACUGGACAUGCACCCAUAGCCUUCUGCUCUCCCUCUGCGGCCACAGGGCUGAGGGAAUGGGCAGGGAGCUGGGGAGGGGGCCCUGGAGAGCAGCUGCUGUGCUCAGGAUCAGCCCCUUCUGGGGAAGGGACACAUCCGUGCCCGCUGAUGGCAGCUCUAGGCCUCUCCAUGUUAAAUACUUGGGCUAUGAUCCUGCUCUAGAACAGGUCUGAUCACACUGACCCCAAGAGUCAGUAUUUUAUCCACCUUGGGCUCUAGGCUCAAACUUUGGUUUAAUUCCCUUCCUGCGGGCUGCCUGAAACAGGAGCUGCAAGGGAGAUGUGAUCUCCGCAGCCACUGUAAAAGAAGAAAUAACUCUGAAGCGAGGAGAUAACUGGAAUUGAAUUUGUAUGUCUUUAAUUAACAAGCACACAGGUAAGGGAUAAUCUCUUUUAGAAGAUAUGCACACAUGUUUCGGAGCCCUGCCUCAACUUCCCGGGGAACACAAUCAACCCCUCUGAAUUCUGCAGACGUCCAGAUUAGGUCACUGCAAAACAUCCUGGGCACCUGCUCUGCAGAAUUUCCCCUUCAGAAGCACUCGGGAAGCAUCCCAGUUUUAUUCCUAUCUGCACAGCUCUGAAGUGGGAUGAUGUACCAAGUUGCUAUACGUUAGAUAGAUGUCCUCCCAUGCAUGGAGAAAGCCAUUUGCUUCGGGGCUUCCUGCUGAUGUGUGACAUGCUGUGCAGGUUGCACUGGCUGUUCUGUACAGACUCUGUUCUCCCAACAAGCUUUGAGUACAAUUCUUAUUGCUCAGAUACCAUGCCAGCGUUGCUCCAAGUGGUCGUUGCGUGGAGCUCUCUUUACGGGUGAGAAAGCUGAUGAUGGUUUAUCCUUCGGCAGAGAUCUGGCACUUGUCUCCAUGUUUUUUCUCUUCUGAAUUAGAGACUGCAGUUUGCAAUGAUUUUUGGUUAACCUCCUUCUACUUUCUUUAGGAUGAAAUCAUCCCUCCAUCAGAAUUGUUGCGUGCUACCUAUAGAAAGAAUGAAAGCCCGUGUCUGUACGUUGUGACCUUCUGGAGCAAAGACACUAACUAUGUGUAUGCACGUAGAUAUGACACAAAUUUAUCAUGCGGUAUUUCCUAGCUGCUAAGAGACCACGAAGCCGUCCUUGCCCCCAUCUCUCUCUCUCUCUCUCCAAAUAAGGACCCCUCUUUGUUCAGCUUUCUAUGAAAACAGGUGUGCGGUUGCAGGAAUGGGACGAGGUGAGCUUCAAUCCCUUGAACUCCUGCCUUUCUAAACAAUCAGAAGCAUAUAGCCAAAAACUGGCAUCAGCGAGCAAAGCAGCUGCAGCCGUUCCAAAUAUUGCUCUAUUUAAAGCAUCCCAAGGCUCACGAGAACAACUGCAGAGGCAAACCUUAAAAGUUGUCAAUAAAUCCGGCAGAGGGAGGAAUGGCAGAACCAGGUAAGAUGCAUGAUUAAAGUUAGUGUAGCUGUGUAUCCUUAAAAGUCAUAAAUACAGACAGCAUGGGGUGAGAAUGCUCAGCUCUUCGUGUGGAACUCGUUGUUUGGUAACAUGCGUGUGUUAGUUUCUAAUAAGAAAGCACAAGCAGUUUGAAGCCAGUUCUGUUAGCAGCAAUGAGUUUAAAGUAGCUCGAGUUCUUCCUGUCUCUGCAUUCUACCCGUUUUAUUUUCUUUUGUUUUUGUAGCUGUGAUUUUAAGUUGAUGAACGUAAUUAAACUGAACCAUGGAAAUUGAGUUACGUUUGACAGUAAUUUAGAUAUAUUGCAUAGCUGAAGCCUGAGCGUAAUGCUAGGUGAACACAAAGCAAUUUAGAUUUUAACUCCGCAAAGCCCAAAGGCAGAGCAAAGUGAAAUUUUAAUAGCGUACUCUUUGCUGUGAGCACAAUUCCACCGACGCUGAGAAAAGGCAGCUUAUAAAAAUGCAUUUUGUAUUCACUGUCCCUCUCUGUUCAGCUCACCACCAGAGGUUUGCAUGGUGACAGAGCUGUACACUUCCACAUGGUGCUAGCUGUGCACAUGGUUACUCAGGCAGUGCUUUUACUUGUAAGAGGAACUUUUUUAUCCACCCUCAUAGGUAUACCAGUGGCUUUUAAAACGUUGUGCCUCCUGUCUAUGGCACAGUUACCACUGGUACCAAAAAGUACAACUGGGUACUAAAUGCCGUUCCUUAAUCCUCGUUGUCAUUGGUGUCCACGGAAAUUAUGCUGAUAUUCCACAGUGAAUUAGUACUGAUGCACGUGGAGCACUGGUAGUAUCAUUAUUUCGGUGUUUAAGAAAAGAAAUAAAGAAAAAUAAGUGAUGCGGCCCCAGGUGUGACACGGAGCCAGGCUGGAGCCAGCCUGGGACUGUGCAUCACCAGAGCGUGGGGCAGGCACGGCCAGGCCACCCAGCUGGAAGGACUAGGUGCCAGGUUCGUGUGAUUUUCAAGUAUGGAGCUGGCAAAUGCCAUCAGCACAAAAGCCUGUCCGUGCCCAACCUGCUUUAAAUUAGAUUGUAGAGCACCACACGCUAUUGGCAGCACACAUGGAAUUCGGAAAAACUGGUUCGUUGGAGCUGGCAGCUGGGAUGCAGACAGCUAGUGUCUGACGCAGAGGUGGUGGAACACCCUGCCUGCUCCAUCUAACGCAAUGGUGAAACCCCAGGACGGCCCUAGGCAGCCUGUGCCCCCAGGCACGGACCAGGCUUCCUGCGUCCAAAGCCAGCAGACUUGGAGGAUGGUGCAGGAGAUGUGUGCUCCUUCCCUUCCACAUUUCUGCUGACCGGCGUGGUGGUCGAGCCUUCCCUGUGGGUCGCAGUAGCCUGGCUGUGAGUGUGUACCUACAUGAUAUAAAAUAUAAAGGAAAAAAACAUCCGCAAACUUGUGAGAUCUUUUGGAGCAGGGGGCAGAAAGCUGUGAGUUCGAGUGUGAUAACCUUGCACGGGGGGAACAUUCACUCCUUCACCUGCCAAGCCUCUUUAAAAUAAGUGGGAGCUUUUCUGUUCGGUGUCUUGGUGAGUCCUCUGGCCCGCUCUUGUCCGUGCCGUUCUGCUCAGGCACCUCAGGGGUGAAGGCAGCCUGGCAACACCACAGGCAUCUUUUUGUUCAUGGUAGUUGGCAGGAGUUUUGACUGAGUACGUGUGGUAAAACCAAGUCAAUUUAUAAUCCUACACAAAAGGUGAACCCCAGAAAAAAAAAGGAAAAAAAAAGGAAGAUAGAGACAAGAUGAAGUUUAUUGGUGUAUCUAGGGAAUAUCUGGCUUGGAAACCAGUGAUGCUGUAGCCUGUAGUUGAGGGAUCACUGACAUCACUGUGGUACGUGAGCAUCCCAUGAUGGACAAUUCCAGGGCUUCUGAUCUGUGGAGGCACAGCGCUCAGUGUGCUGUUUGUAGAGGAACUCUGCUGUAGCACAGCAGAAAUGCCACAUUUGCCACUCUGACCUGCCCCUCUGUGCUUAUUUUGAGAUAAAAUCAUGUCUGAAGUAGAGAAAAAUUACUGCAGUUGGAGAAGAAGAAAGUAAUUCAUACCCAGAAUGCCAGGUUACAUACAUGGGUCACAGUACGAUUCCUUUAUUUAUUCUUGCUGCCAUCCAGACUUGUUCUUUUGGUUUCAGUGGGCUCUGGCCCAGCAGCUGGGCUUGGUUUCCUUGGCCUGUUUCGAAGCAAUGCUCAUGAAUGCUCCUCAACAGCCCACAUUUCCCUCAGUAUCCUGCUCUCAUUUGCCUUCAUUAUAAUGGUGAUUAUAAUUAAUCCUCCAAUUUCAGGAUUGUAGCUUAUUACCUGUAGGGGUCAGUACAGAUUUCUUUUUUCCAAAAUGCAAUUCCUUAGGAGCAUGCUGCUCCCCUGCUGCUGUCCCACUGCACCUCUCCUGCAGCUCAGCCUGAACACUGGGCAGUGCAGAUGCUCUCUGUGCAGAUGCUCUCUUUGCAGCUGUUGGUGUGCCCAGCCCUGCUCCGCGGUGAGGGUGAUGUGUGGUUGUCAGAUUUAGGCUUCGGAUAGUUCUCCAAAAAUGAAAACCUUGCAGUUUGUCUUCUGCAGCCUUGCAAAAGGAGUUUGUCAGCCUUCUGCGUGAGGCCUUGCAAACAGGUUCCCUGCUGGAUGUCUCACACAGUCUAGCACCUAGCCUUGUGCACGUGCUGUGCUCCGUGCUUCUGCAUCCCCUGCUUGUGGCAUGAAAUAGUCUUCACACGGUUGUUUUACUCUAACUUGGAGUAUCUGUCCCGUGACAAGCAGGGGAUCAGAGCAAAUGAUCUCAUGGUCAUAUCUGCUCUUAAGCUAUGAAACACAAGUACUCCUAAUGGUUCCCGUGAAACUCUAUCCCUCAGAGCCAGCUGCUUGCUGCCCAUGACAAAUGCUGGGCCCACAUUCCUGCUGGCCCGUCAGCACUGGCUUACUCCUCUUACCUUUCUGCACUUAAAGUGGAUCUCACAUAACAAAACACCAUAUCCAGCAGAUAUAUUGGCAGCCGAGCAGAGCUCUAUCAUAAUUCUUCCAUGUGCCUCAGUAGGGUCCAGACCUUUAUUUGUAACAGGAUCUUUCAGGGAAAAAAAGCAGCAAGGAAAGAGAAAUGAUUCCCAACAGAAGGACCUUUCCCUUUACACAGAGUCAGACACUCUUUAAAGGAAACAGGCAAGGGAUUCCCCUGUGGCAAAAGGGCACUCUGUUUCACUGUGAGAUUUUAUCCUUGUGCUGCAUGGUUGCUAUUUAUAUGUCUUAUGUUUUAAUGGCAGCACACGCAGAUUUUCUACCUAUACACGCUUUCCCUCUUCUUAGAUAUACCAGGGAAUACCAUAGCAAGCCGUGUCUGUGUGGAGUGUAGUUUUUUAAGAGCAAUGCGGAAAGCCUUAAAUUAUUCAGCAUCCCUCCAAAGUCUCUCUACUGGCCUAAAAUAUGCAAGGUGUUGUGGAGAGUUUCACAUUAUUUAUUAAUCCCUUCAAAAACCUGGGAAUCUUUUAACUGCAGAAUGUUGUACUUUCGCGUUCUGAGAUGUUGGAACUAAUGCGAUCUCGAAGGUUGACGUGCUGCUUACCGGCACGCUUCUGCUGCUUGCAGCUGCUAGAAGGGUCUUUGAAAUGCUGGUGCUGUCCAGAUACAUGCUUAUAAGGGCUGCUCCUGCCUUCUGCGUGCUUCCUGUAGAACCACCACCUCAAUUUGCCUCUUUGUCUCUAAGCUGUUUAUUAGCCUGCUCUUGUUCUUAGUGGACAGGACAGGCAAGACAUCAGAUUUCUGUGGCCCAACUAAGGCAGACAGGUGGAAGCUUCUGUGUUAUUUUCUUACUUCAAGCUGAGGGAAACCCUUGCAGUGGAUGCCCUGUCUCUCUGUAGGACAGGAGAGGAGGGGGCAGAGCCAGGCGCAGCUGGAAUAAGGGCUGCAAUAAGCGGUGGGUCCCUGAGGCACAGCCCCGGGCAAACACCCCUCUGGGUACGAGAGCUCACUCAGCAUCCCCUCAUUGUGGCUCCAGGCACAUGAAUCUUAAAUUAAACAAGUACAGUAUUAUAUAUAUAUAUAAUAUGUAUAUAAUAUAUGUAUAAUUAUAUGUAUAAUUAUUUAGAUAUAUAAUGUUAUGCUUUUAUAUUAUGUUAUAUAUAUAAUUGCUGUAUUCUUAAUUUGCUGUUGCCAAGCUCAUGAGACUUCUAGAAGGUUCUGUACGUACAUUCAGCCUAUUGAACCUGAGUCUGCUGUCCGUCCAGUCCAGAUGUUCUCCUGAUGACCUGUGGAGACCAAGGACAUAACCGUGCUUCUGUCUCUGCUCUCUGCUUCUUUUGGAAGUGUUAAGCCUUGCACCUAUCUGAUUGCAGAGACCGGAGUGUGGAAAUCGCUUUGGGUUUUGCUAUGUAUAUGUAGCAGGCCUGCCAAGACAUGGUGACUCCAUGCCAAAAAUAGCAAUUGUAGAUGUGUCCCAGGCUCACAGGUAUCUUUUCUGCUACGUGAGAAUUCCUGUUUUGUUGUAUUUAGUUUAGUGAAUUCGUAACGAGCGUAACGUGCCCUUUCUGAAAAAGAUCAUCCUUUCUCUUUCAGCCCAGCUCCCACUUUCACGUCUUGUGGUACCCAUGCUGCUUGCAGUUGGCUGGAUAGUGGGUUGUGUGGUGAUGGUUUACAUCGUCUUCUCCUGAUAGAAGACAGAAGAAUUUACCAUGAUGCUGAUCAGAAGAACUUGAAAGUAAAAUUGGAUUGCCUAACAACUAAAAUAUGUUUAAAAUUAAUUAUUUUUAAAUCAACACCGUA